AGACGGAGGAGGCAAGCAUUGUCCGGAAUUAUUGGGCGUAAAGAACACGUAGGCGGUUUGCCAAGUCAUAUGUGAAAACCUUGGGCUUAACUUAAGGAUUGCAUAUGAUACUGGUAAACUAGAGUAUAGUAGAGGAAAGUGGAAUUCCUGGUGUAGCGGUGAAAUGCGCAGAUAUCAGGAAGAACACCAGUGGCGAAAGCGGCUUUCUGGACUGUUACUGACGCUGAGGUGUGAAAGCUAGGGGAGCGGACAGGAUUAGAUACCCUGGUAGUCCUAGCCGUAAACGAUGGACACUAGGUGUGGGGAGUUAUCGACGCUCUCUGUGCCGAAGCUAACGCAUUAAGUGUCCCGCCUGGGGAGUACGGUCGCAAGACUAAA
rnacentral:rRNA from 1 species